rnacentral:rRNA from 1 species
UCAAUCUCGUGCGGCUAUAUAUACCGCCGGUCCCUCUAAGAAGAUAUUCAUUGUACGCCGGUAGUGAAGACCGCAGCGCCGUUCGGAUGCACGCGANNNGAUAUCGCCGCACACGCACACUGCCGGACGACACUUAAACGGACCCUCUUGAUACCGGUAGCACGUCUAUUUAAUAGGCUAGAGUUACGUUCGUUAC